ensembl:ncRNA lncRNA:CR43751 long non-coding RNA:CR43751
UGCUUUGCUGGCCAGGAUUAUGGCAGCCCAGAAUCGUUCCAAUUUAGCGCCCAAACGGAGCGCAGCCAAGCAGAACGGCCAAGCUGAUGGAGGGGCUCAGUGGUGGCACGAUGAUCGACUAUAGUAUACCGUAUGCAAUGGAAAACAGAAACACUGCUGAAGAAAGCUACCAAAUAUAUAUACCCCAACUUCGACUGGGUAUGAAAUCCCAAGUGUGCACUUAAGGGAUGAAAAAGUGAUCGCAGAUCGAAGCAAUCCACAAGUGUUGGCAGGUUGAGCCACUCCUUGCCCUAUCAGUGUGUUGGUGCCGCCAUGCGAUGGUGUGCAUGUGUGCAUCUGGCAGAGUGUGCGUGUCGAGGGCACCUUACCACAAGAACGCAGUGCAAAUGACGGUGAAAGGUUUCGGGUUUCAUGUUUCCCGAUGGAUGUCGAAGUACCAAACGUACAUGGAGAAAAAUUCUAUGCACUUCUGCAUAUUCCAAUUAUUUGAUAUAGUUCAUAAAGUUUGUAUAGAGGAAAAGUAUCUUAGCAAUGAAAACAAGCAUAUUAGAUUUCAGUGCACUCCUGGAUGUUUCAGAUGGUUCAGCUGGUUACGUGGUCGGGGUGAAUCGGAGUACAUAUGUACAUCGAAGUGGAGGGCAUUGUGCAACGGAGAUUCGAUAUGAGCUCGGCGAUUCGAUCCUGUGCGACAGGAUAAGCCCAGACAGAGCUCCCCCAUGCUCACUAUUUGGCUUCCCCCGGGCAUCGCUGGAAUGUGGAAAUCUUUAUCAAUUAAAUAAUCGCCGCACACACACGCAUGCACUAAGCGAGAUGAAAAGGGGCCUCAUCAUCAUCAUCAUCAGCUGAGCCCUGCAGGCAGAGCUCGAAAAUUAGAGAAGGAAUCUAUAGUCUCGGAUGCAAACUUAGAACCACGAUCAAGGUUAAGUAUUCAAGAUAUUUUAACUUUUCCCAGCUUAGCAGUUACUUAUGUGAAUUGGGAUUGCAUGCCGGAGAUUCGAAAGCGAUCUGCAGCAUUUCUUUCUGUGCUGACCUAUUUCGACGACCUCGUCUGUGCAGCCGGAGGAAGAACUAGGAUGGAGAUAGAGGAUGGUGCACGCACAUCACAUCUCACAACUGAGCUGCAGCUUGGAAAAUGCGCUCAACAUCCGCUCCUCCGAUUGCUUCGAUCUCUGCGAGCGCUUCUUGGAAAUCGUUUAAAACCAGAACAACAACAGUGGCCACAACCAUGGAAGAUCGAACGUUCCGAGGCGUGGAAAUGGCAGCAAAUGAGAGGCCGAGAGGUACACACUCGCACUCCAAAUGAAAAUGCUGUGUAAUUAAUUACGCAGACUGAGGAUCGCUCGGGGGUCCGGAGUAGCCAGUGGAGGGGGCUUAUGAGGAACAAAGACCUGCUGCAGCAGGUUGCAAGCACAUCCAGCAUCGCAUCGAGUGGCCUGGGAACCUUUCGGGAAAGUCGUCGGCCGAACGGAAAGGAAGUUAUCCUAGCACAUGGCUUAUCGACUUUGCGGCACAAAGGGAAAUUACACAUGAAAAUCGAUCGUAAAAAACAUAAAUUUCACAUUUUACGAGCGGAAAGUGGAGGGGCUCUAAUUGAAAAUCUAUCCAUAGUUUCAUGUGCGUCUUUUUGAAGAUCGGGUGUUGGCUGUAUACGGUCUGAACAAUCAAAUAGUCACACUUUGGGCCCAGAUAUGUAUGUCCAGGUAGUUGUGAGGAAGGAUUUCAAAUUCGUUGGCAGAGUAGACUCGCAGUUCCUUGGUCAUAAAUAUUAAAGUGUUUUUUUUUUGGUAUUAAGGAUCACUCUCAAGCCAUUUUUAUGCAAUUCAAAGUAAUAGUGUUGCAAUGCGACAUGAAGAAGCAGGAAAUGAUUAUGUUAGAAACCAGAAAUUAGUAAAGAUGUAUGGGAAAUCCUCACGAGAAAAGUCUAUUAUACAUUCAGCCACUUUUCCCAGCCAAACAAACUACUGCGUCCCACAAAAAAAAAACCAAGCUAAUCACUGAACCGUAAACGAAACUCCCAUAAAUUCCCAAGACGUCGAACAGGUUGAUCGGUCCUCGAUGUGUGCUAAACGAUCACCUGAUCAUCAUAUCGGUCACCUAAUGGGAAUCUCAGCAACUCCCGGCAAAGUUUAAUGAGGAAGCUCGAAAAAACACUCGGUAGGCAGUCAAACGGAUCAGUUACAUGGGUAUCCAUUCCCCGACUCCUUCUCCACCGCCUCCUCCUCCGGCACUUCAGCCGAUCGUCCCAACCUGAUUGGCCACCCACAUAAUCCAGUCAGCUUAUAUAGUUAUGAGACUCUACACCAGAUACUCAGGAUUUUCUCCAAGUGCAGCAUAAAUGCUAAAUUGAUUGAGGCAUAUUGCCGACAUAUCGCGAUGUUGUCUCGAUUAUAUAACUUCCUCGAUCGAGCCCCAAAGACUCAAAAGUCUGGCAAAAGUGUUGCAGACACGCUACCGUCGAAACGACAGCGAUACCGAAUCCGAUGUGGGUACCCACACACCGCAACAUCGCUUUCCGACCUGGAGACUCCGACACCCACUGCCUUACAUUCAUAAUCUAGUAUUUUGCCACACCGCUCGCUGCACAGAAGACUGGGCUCCAAUGUGAAGUUGGGAGCUUGGAGAAAGAGGGAGACAGCAUCCGGAAUCGGAAUGCCAAAAAUGAAAAGAAACGAUGAAGUCGGUGAGUGCACUGAAAACAAAGAUGUAGUUUAAGGAAUUAUAACUGGAUUAUAACUGAAAUUGGAGAAGUUCAUUUGGUUUAUAUACCAAUUCAAAGAAUUACCUAUUACCUAUUAUAACUAUUUAUUAACUUAUUAACUUUUAAGGGGGCUCCCUAUUAUUUUUGCAUAACCCCCGUGCAAAGCAAAGAGCAUCAUUAUUAAUGAAAGACGAGAAGAAUUCAGGUUUGCAAUGCGGUAAUGCGCCGCUAAAGAAGACGGCGCACAAGAUGGUAAUGGUAAUGGUAACCUGUCCCGCGAUCUGGAGAGCGGAGGAGCUGGUCCAGCACCAGCAGUCAGCCAGUGGGUCGUCCAAGUCUUGGGAUGUGGAUGUGGAUGUGGAUGUCUUGCUGUCAGUUUGUGCGCCUUCUGCACUGCGCGCAUGCGCCAUAAAUGGCGAAAAGUCGCAAAAAGGGGCAGAGAGCGAUGAAGAUGCGGCUGUGGAGAAAUGGAGGAGACUGCCGCUGCUGCUGGCUACUGUGCCACUGUUCCACAUUCGGAUUACGGAAACAUCGCCACCGCCAACAGGUCGCCGACAGGUGGGGUCCGGUUCGCCGCGGCUGGAUGGGAUCGGAUCGCUUUUCUCACCGAUUCAGCAUGACCUGCUAUCGCCAUGGGUGCACCAGGAAAAAUCUAUGGGUCAGUAGUUCGUACAUGAUCAAAAAAUAAGUUUGUAAAAUUACUCAAG